UUUUCAGUUUCAGCAACAAUAAGCUCAAUCCAAACAGACCCUAUAGUGUUUUUGAAAUACCAGCUGAGCCUCAGAUUUGGUGUUUCUUAUCCAAUAGAUAAUUGACAUCUGUAAAAAAAAACCACAUCAGUUUACUCCACAAACCCAAAUAAAAAGACAAUCUUGCUCCUGAAAAAUUUUCAAACCCCGCCCACUGUUAUUCUCUGUCCCUCCUCCUCUCUCUUUCAAAUUCAAUUCACAAAAUGAAACCCUGAUAUUUUUUGAACCCCUGCCGCUUUUACUCCCUCACUCUCUCCUUUGUCCCUUUCAAAUCUAAUUCCAGAAAUCAAACAUUACUCUCUCUUUCAUACCCAAACUCCCUUCCAUUAACAAUUGCCUCUUCCAUUUUCUUGUUGCCACAAUGCUCUUCCCCCACCUACGGCGCAAGUUCUCACAGUCACUGCCAAGCAUCACCGGUCCAACGAGACCAGCCUUUUAUAUCCUCUGAAAAUCACCUUUACUCUUUUUCUAGCAUCAUCGUCGGUUUGGAGAACCUGGGCCAUUUUCUCACUCACCGAUUCCAACGCCCAACGACCCAAAAGGCAUUUGUAAAAGGCAUGAUGAUAAAAAAUCAGCUACAACAGGUGCAACAUCAGCUGCCACACCAGAGUAGCUCAGGCUACAACAUAUUGCAGCAGCUAGUGCACCAGAGCAGCACACAUAAGCACCAGAGUAGGCAAGGCAAUCAAACAGUGCAAGAGCAGAUGAUAUGCAGAUUGAAGGAUUGGAUGAGCAUCAAGGGAUUGUGUCUUGUGUUACAAAAUUGAAGAAGCUCAAGAAUAGUAUAAAUCUUUCGAAACGGCAGAGCAGAAGUGUAGCUUAGUUGUAAUUGUACAGUAAACGAUAUGUAGUUUGUAUAUAAGUAUAGUUAGCUUAGUAAGUCAAGCACGUGUAAGAGUGUUAUGGUUGUUAGUCCCUGUUCACGUGUAGCAAUCUGUUAAGUUAGUUACAGAGUUGAUCUGGUUCUUUUGGUGUAUAUAUGUACAGAUUUGAUUCAAUGAAUAAGAUGAGCAAAUCAUUUUCAUCAAAACAAA